UGCCUCUCAGGAUUGUACCUGGAGUGUUUCCAGAACUCUACCAGUCUCAGUUAUUGGAGGGAGAGUCAUGCAGAGGCAUACCCAUUCCAUUCCUAGCUUGGGCAGGGACUAGAAAGUGGAAAGCAAUCUGCUACAAAU